GCGUUCCCGCCUGUCCUGGUGACUCGGGCUCCAGGAGCAGGCUUGGCCUUUAAUUUUGCGGCUCUGACCACCGUAAGCAAAGCACAGGAACCUCGAGAUACGUGCGAGCUUGCCUCGAAGUUCCGCGCGCGAAGGCGGUGCACGGGCGUAUAUGUACGCGCUGGUGCGUGUGCUAGCUAGUGGUUCGGCCUCAUUGCCAGGCCCCCUCCCGCCCCCUGCGCCCGGAGCAGGGACUGAGGAGCUGCUCUCUGCUGGGGGCUCGCGGCUCGCCCACCCAUUCCAAAUUUAACCAUUACCUAAAUCCGAAGGGAAAUGAGCAAACCUCUCGGAUGGGGCGUCAAGGUAUUUUCAGCCCUGCUGGGCGUAUUUAUCCCCAAGUGUUUCCACAACAAGUUAUUUCGGGGGCUGCGGGGCCGCUCCAGCUCCCUUCAGACUUUGGCCCUUUAGAGCAGCCCUGUAAUAGCUAGUGUGAUAAUAAGGGCCCCCAGACGGGGGUGAGGGGAGGAGGGGCGGCCUCGGAGCUCUCAAGAUGUUGGGGACUGCAGGUCCGGGGAACAUGGGAGCCUCCAGGCGCCUGGGAGUGGGUGGGAAGUGGACUGCAGAUCGGGGGGGGGGGCGGGGGGCGGAAAGGCUAAGACCCCUCCCCAGGUUGGGGGAGGUUUAGAAUCCCCAGGCCCGGGGAGCUUCAGAGCCCCCAGGAACCUAGGUGGGGGUAGGAGGUGGAUUUCAGCCUGAGAGCGGUCAGAUCCCCGAACUCGAGGGGUGAGACACUGUUGAGAUUGCUGCGGGGGGCAGUGCCAGGCGCGCUGGGUUCGGAAGUGCGUGCUGACAGGAGGGGGCCAGCAAGAUUGGGGGGACCGAAGCCUUCAGAGGAGGGGGCGGGGUGCGAUUUCCGAGGUGCGUCCCUCGGGUUCCUUACUCUUCCCCUUCCUCCUCCUCCUGGUCCUUCUGCGCCGCCCAAGUCAAUCUGUGUCCCGAAUCUGUAACUUGUUCUCGCUUCGGAAGUCGCCCUCUGGGCCAAGAAUAGUUCAGUUUUCUUUCGUGUCAUUUUCAGAGCCCAGUGUUAACCCAUUCUCCUCCCUUCAUCAGCCAGUCAAGGGCAAAAAGCCGAGAGGGAGGAAAGUGGAAGGAGAGACCCAGGCCUCUCUAACCUCGGCCUCCGCACCUUGCCUGGAGCCUGCGCUCCGGCACCCUGGUGGCCCCGAGACCAAAGGAAUUGAUGGGGGAGGGAGACCAGUCCGACUCCCGGGGCUUUGGUCUGGGGAGGGGGUGUGUGUGAGGAGUAACUGCAAGCCUGACCCGGGGAGGGGGGGCGGCGCGGCGGCGAUCAACCCAGAGCGGUCUGUGCUAGCGCGGCUCCCUAACGCUCAGGAAGUGAAGUUUGUGGUUUUGGGGGCUGAGCUCGGAAGGAGUUUUGAAAGAAAAAAAAAAGGCAGCCAGAGAGAGCGCGGUCUUCCAAAAGCGAGACUCAGUUUGAAAAGGGGCUGGAGAGAGCAGCGGCUCCAGCGUGCGGACCCGUGCGUGGCGACGCCAGCUGCACCCUGGAGGCAGCCUUCCCACGAAUUGUAUCUGUGGCCUUGGCCGGGCGCCGACGGGGCAUGGGGUAAAGAGAGGGAGUCCCAAGGAGCAGGGCUCUGCCCCAGGUCCUGAGAAGACCGAACCUUGGCUUCCUUUUCUUCCUUCCUCAAUCUCGCCAAUCCAAGGGAGCACUGGUCCACUGCCCUGGGUGGGCAUCUCUGACAGCGAGUACCGGUGGAAAAGUCAGAGACAGCAUAUUUGGGUGACCAGGCCUGGCCUUGGGGGAUGCCCGCUAAAUGGGUCCAGGUUAGAAUGAGAGGAAUGACUUUUCUUGAAAACAUCUCCAGCGUAGCUCAGAACCGCCGUUCUGGAAUCUGGGGAACAACUGAAGUCGCGAGCGUAAGGACCAGAGGCCCUCGUCAAGCCUCCCCACGCUCCAUUCUCUCCCCCUGCUUGCCCCGCACUACACAUUCUUAAGGAUGCUUUGAAGGGCAGGUGGACCAGUACCGUGGGAUUUGUCAACUGUCCCUCCGCCCGAGGGUGCCGGAUGCUCAAAGACGUCUUACGUCGGCUUUCAUUUUCCUUCCAUUUUAAUUUUUGUUCGUGGAGCUGGCUAGCUUGGAGCUGUUUGUGGGGGUAUGCAGUAGGAUGUCAGUUCUUGAACGCAGAGACUGUUUCGUUUUUGUCUUUGAGUCUGCAGGGCCUGCCACUUAGCAGGCUCGGAAUAGACUUUGGGUGAAUCGAAUUGAC
ensembl:lncRNA